ensembl:lncRNA
GCUCUCUGGGGCCGGUGCCCUUCACGCUGGGGUUCCACAUAGCAACAAAUGGAGAGAGUGCCCCGGGAGUCCAUUCCCGCAGGGGUUCUUCAGAAGGGCGGUUCUCCACAGCACCUCAGAGACAGCUGUCACUUGGGGUUCAUCCAGUGACAUGGGGCCAACUUGGAGGCAGCUCCUACACAAGCACCUCAGAGUCCCCGGAGGACUGUCCACGGCCGCAAACCCGCCCCUCAUGUGACGGUCUGGUCCCUGCCGCCCCCGCUCCCACUUACCGGGACCUUCCAGGCCGGCAGACUCUACACCGCGUGCCUUGCGCUGCCCAGAGGAGCUCGAGGGCCGGCGUGCUGGGCCAAGGGCAGGCAAAAGGUAGCGCUGGCGGAGCUCCGAGUAGAGGCGUUCACCGCAGAGGCGCAUGCGCCCACGCGAGGCGCUCUUGGCCGCUGGUGGGCUCGUGGGGCGUUCCGCCCCACCCUCCGCGCCUCGAGGUGCGGGCCUCGCGGAUCAGUUGUGGGCGCCGGCGCGCUUGGAGUUGGGGGGACGCGGGAGUGGAGUUCUAUGGGGGUCGGAUGAACCGUGGGCCCAGGUGCCAGUUGGCGCCCCCUUCGAGCACCCUGGUCUGCGGCGCGGGGACUGCACCUGCCGGCCGACUGCGGCAAGGACUGUGUCAGGCCCAAGGGGGCGCAGGGCUGAGCCCGCUAACACUUCCGCUCCUCGUAAAGAGAUGGAGUCUCCUUCUGUUACCCAGGCUGGAGUGCAGUGCUGUGAUCAUAACUUACUAUUGUCUCAAACUCCUGGGCUCAAGCAAUCCUCCCUCAGCCUCUCGAGUAGCUGGGAUUACAGGAAUUGUACCAUUUUGUACUCUCACCAACAAAGUAUGAGAUGGCAGUAUCUCCUCAUCUUGCCAAAAGAGUGUGCUGUGAAACUUUUGAAUUUUGUCAAUCUGCUGUGA